GAACGCUGGCGGCGUGGAUUAGGCAUGCAAGUCGUACGCGAAAGAGGGGGAAACCCCUCGAGUAGAGUGGCGAACGGGUGAGUAACGCGUGAGAAACCUGCCUUCAACAGGGGGAUAACACUCCCAACGGGGUGCUAAUACCGCAUGAGACCACGGGAUCGCAUGGUCCUGAGGUCAAAGGUGGCCUCUGCUUGCAAGCUACCGGUUGAAGAUGGUCUCGCGUCCCAUUAGCUAGUUGGCGGGGUAAUGGCCCACCAAGGCGACGAUGGGUAGCUGGUCUGAGAGGAUGGUCAGCCACACUGGGACUGAGAUACGGCCCAGACUCCUACGGGAGGCAGCAGUCGAGAGGCUUCGGCAAUGGGGGAAACCCUGACCGAGCGACGCCGCGUGAGGGAUGAAGGCCCUUGGGUUGUAAACCUCUUUUGUUCGGGAAGAAGUGCGAUCAGGUGAACAAUCUGGUCGUUUGACGGUACCGGACGAAUAAGCUCCGGCUAACUCCGUGCCAGCAGCCGCGGUAACACGGGGGGAGCAAGCGUUGUUCGGAAUCACUGGGCGUAAAGGGCGUGUAGGCGGCCAGGUUAGUGGGAUGUGAAAUGCCCCGGCUCACCCGGGGACCUGCAUCCCAAACUGCCUGGCUUGAGUAUGGGAGAGGAUGAGGGAAUUCCUGGUGUAGCGGUGAAAUGCGUAGAUAUCAGGAGGAACACCGGUGGCGAAAGCGCUCAUCUGGCCCAAUACUGACGCUGAGGCGCGAAAGCUAGGGGAGCAAACGGGAUUAGAUACCCCGGUAGUCCUAGCCGUAAACGGUGAGCACUAGGUGUUGGAGGCAGCGACCCCUCCAGUGCCGCAGCUAACGCAUUAAGUGCUCCGCCUGGGGAGUACGG
rnacentral:rRNA from 1 species